rnacentral:lncRNA from 1 species
UAGAUCCUGCUAAAAAAAAAAAGAAAAAAAAAGUAAAAGUAAAAGCUAUACAGGAAAUGCCUGAACCGAAAACAAAAAGAGAUCAAAUGGUCAGGUGGAUAAUGAUUGCCAAGGGGCAUUGAAAGAUAAAAGAAUAAGUUGCAGGAACCUCUGAUUCUGAUGCCUCCCGUGGAAGGAAUAACUGUUAAUCUGAUACUUGAUAGCCCUCGAGGGGUCUAUGAGGUGUGUACU